GACGAACGCUGGCGGCGUGCUUAACACAUGCAAGUCGAACGGUGAAGGGACCAGUUUUUGCUGGUUCUGGAUGAGUGGCGAACGGGUGAGUAACACGUGAGUAACCUGCCCCCUUCUUCUGGAUAACCGCAUGAAAGUGUGGCUAAUACGGGAUAUUCUGCGCCUGCUGCAUGGUGGGUGUGGGAAAGAUAUUGUUUCGGUGGGGGAUGGGCUCGCGGCCUAUCAGCUUGUUGGUGGGGUGAUGGCCUACCAAGGCGGUGACGGGUAGCCGGCCUGAGAGGGUGGACGGUCACACUGGGACUGAGACACGGCCCAGACUCCUACGGGAGGCAGCAGGGGGGAAUAUUGCACAAUGGGCGCAAGCCUGAUGCAGCGACGCCGCGUGAGGGAUGGAGGCCUGCGGGUUGUAAACCUCUUUCGCCAGUGAAGCAGGCCUGUCCCUUUUGUGGGUGGGUUGACGGUAGCUGGAGAAGAAGCGCCGGCUAACUACGUG
rnacentral:rRNA from 1 species